AUACGGUCGAAUCAUGUAGAAGGACGAUACCAAAACUCCACACAUCAACCUCCUUACAUUAAGGGUUUACAAACUUUUAAUUUAAUCAAGAUCCAACAUGCAUUUGAACUCAUUUUGGAGAAAAACGGAGAAAUUUUGUGUUAAUAAAUAAAAAUGGAAAUUUAUACAUUUCACUAAUGCAUUUACUUAAUUUCAUUGGAUAAAUUGGAAUUAAUUGGUGUUAUUCAAAAGGGGGAAAAAAGAAUUACUAGAUGAAAUACUUGGAGAAAAAAAAAAUCGCCGGCUUCAUCACGAAUGUUGCUUCCGUCGAUUGAUUUGUUCAUCGAUUUCGUUGAUCUGAUCCUUGAACCGAUGCAUCUCUUCUCAAUUCCGGCUGCUGCAGAAUUUGAGCACGAAUCGUUUCAUAAUGCGCUACUCUUUCUCGUAGGGCGUUUUCUCCUCUAAGCGUCUCCAUCAUUGCCGAAGAAGAAUCGCGAGUGGAGAAACUCAAGACUUGCAAUCUGCAGAGAGGGCAACUCGAAUGAUCACGAAACCAGGCGUCGAUGCAACAACUAUGAAACGAAUGAUUGCAAUUCGGUAGCAAACGAAUCAUGGAGGCCUCCAAUCCAUGUCCAUGGACUUGCAGAGAAGGACCAUUAGGGUUUUCCUCAAAUUGGACCCUAGGUCGACCGGAAAUCAGUCCAUGAAACACACGGAACAGAUGUUUCAAAAGUCUAUAGUUGCUCAACAGUAGAAAGACUAUGCAGACGAUGGCGAUGGUCGAGAUUGACCACGGACUCCAGCUAGAGUAAUCAGGCACCGGAGAUGGCGGCGGCGGACUCGAUGGCAUAAUUUGAGGGUGGUUAACAUUUGGAGCCAUCAGCAAGGCACUGUUGAAGCAAGAACCAGAAGGGCCAUUUGUGAAACUCAACAUGGAGGAAGCUGAACAAAUUUGAGAAGAUCCACGGGACAUUUCAGUGCGUAGAAGAGAAUGGAGUGGCUUUGGGGAAGGGUUGCUAGGUUUUGAAGUGGUGUUUUGAUUGAUAUUUUUAGUGUUGCAGCCAUCCACUAGAAGAGGGGGAAUCUUGAACGCUUGCAAUGGCGGAGGAUUACGCCAUUGGGGAAGUGGCCCAGCGACGAGAAGCGUCUGAAGUAAAGGACCGGCUUCUGUAACAGCUUGCAGGAGCUUUCCUUUCCGAGGCAAUGUUUUUCCCUUAACAAGAUUAUCAAUCACUGCAUAAAAUGGAUCAGCCUUUUCUGUUUUGGGAAUGUCUAGACCUGUGGUCAGAGGAGGCUGAGGGGGAUUAUACUCUGUGACAAAGGGCUGAUUUACAAAACUUAUCUUGCUUGAAUCAGCCAUGUUUGCAGUGGAGAAAUCUGGUGAUGAAACUCCAUCAAAGAAUGAAUCUGCCGGUGAAGAACCGUAAGAAUGGUGAUUAUAAGUUUCAUAUAGACUGCUUGAUUCGGUAAUGCUUGAAUUUGCUUUGGUAGGUAUGUUGAGAGGGCUUUCAGGUUGGAAAUGAAGCAGAGCUGGUAAUUCAGUUGCAGUAGUUGGCAUGAACUUGUUCAUCAGUUUCUGCAGCUGAUCUCUUGCUUCAUCUCUUUCUUCAUAUGCUGCCUGCAGGAGAAGAAGUAAGCUCCUCACUUUUUCUUUGUUCUUUAUACUUUCUUCAUUGGCUUCCAUUUUUAGUGACUCCAGUUCAAAAGUAGUCUGUAGAAGUUUCUGCUUCAACUCCUCCACGUUCUGCCAAUUGAAAUUAGUUUUAUUAGUAUAAUCACAACAAAAGAUUUGUUUUAAAGAGAGAGAAAAAGUGAGAAGAUAAUUAUAAAGUAUUGGGGAAUGCCAAGAAGGCACUUGGAAAUCCAAAGUCCAGUGUCAAAUAAUGCUGCAAAUUAGUUACUAUUAAUCAAUGUCAUGGAAUAACAUAUAGAAUAAUUCUCAUCAAUACCGACAUAUUCUUUUCUAUUUGCAACCAAACAUGCUCAGAUCAAAAAAGUCAGCACACACGUCGUGAACAGCACAAACACUGUUACUUCCCUUCCCUGCUUCUGCUACUUGGAACAAAACAAAUAGAGAAUUUGCAGUUCAUUCCCCCCACCUAAGAACAAAGAAAACAAGAUCUAGCUGGAACAUGUCUUCUGAUAUAGGAAAUCAUUACAACACCCAACUUCAGUGAACUUAAGUUAUCAUUUUCCAUUAAAAAAAUUUGAACUCUUAAAGAAAAACAGAGUGAACGAGAUCAGGGGAAGACCAAACAAACAAUCAUUAGUUCAAACACCCAAAAUUGAGAAGACCCAGAAGAAUAAAUGAACUGAACCAACUCUUGGAACAUGAAAAGAGAAAGAAAAAGAGAGACCCACCUCCUGAAAUCUCCAUAAACAGCCCAAAUCCUCCAUGGUUUCCACUUCUUGGCCAAUAUGGAGAAAAGUAUAGGGGAGUUUAAGAAAGAAAGUUGGACCCUGAGACAUUUAUAAAUUGAUGAGAAUGAUAGGACAGGUUAUAAGCUAGAGAGAGAGAGAGAAAUGUUCCUUUUUUAAUUUUUUUUUUUUUUUUUUUUUUUUUUUUUUUUUUUUUUUUU